rnacentral:tRNA from 1 species
GGUAAAAUGGCUGAGUUUGAAAAUAGGUGAUAGAUUGUAAAUCUAUUAAGGGGAUACUUUCCCUUUUACCA